AUAACAGUAAAGCCACACUCCUCAAGUGCCUGAAAUACCUCUGAUUGUCUUCUUCAGGUGGCAAGGGCUCAGGAACAGCCACAUAAAGCUCCUACCAAGGAAGAUCCAGAGACAUUCUCCUCACCAAGGCGUUAAGAAAUGCACAGGUGAUGGGAACAGCGGCGUGUGUGUAAAGGUCCUGUGGCACUUCUCCUCUGCAGACUGGAGGUCAUGGCAGGAGAUGCUGCAUGGAUUUGCCCUCCCUGCUGUCAGUGAGAACAAUAGCGUUCUGGAAGAAUAGAGGACAGGCCGUGGGACUCAGCAGUCUUGAAACAAGGUGAGAGGGAUUUCCUUGAGAGGCAGGGACAUGUGGUGGUUACUAAUCAUCGUGAGGUGUCUGGGAAUGUAAUGGAUGGGAAAUCUACUAAGAAAUCAACUUAUGUAAUAAUUAGAAAAGCUUUAGUUCUGAGGACAGAGACCUGAUGGAGUCACCAUAGUGGGAAUUUAUGACCUGGCAUCCAGUUCAGACACCUGGAGCUUCUUGACUGAGGGGAGAUUGGAUCCCUUGAGGAAGAGUGAAGCCUUCAAUGCUGC
rnacentral:lncRNA from 1 species